rnacentral:lncRNA from 1 species
GCUUUCCCAGCCUGCGAUCUGAGCCAUACCACUUUUCUCUGACAAGUUAUAGAGUGAAAAGAUUUUUUUCUUCAGGUAGCCCUAGAUACAUCAGACUGGUGCAGCAUUCUUUACAGAGUCUGGACAUUGAUCUUACAUCUGCUGCAGGCUGGGUGACAACACGUCCUCGUUUAGCCCUGCGGUCUCGGCAAAUAUUUAAAGGUCACUGAACAAAGGUUGCUGUUUCUACGUUCACUCACGACUCCACCUACCUGGGUAACAAAGCAGAGGUCUGACAGUCCCCACUUCAACAGCGGCUGAUCCAGCAAGAGGAAGAGCUUCUGGAGAGGGUCGCACAAGAACGUGAACGCACUCAACACGACUCGACUAACUGUACAGUGGUUAGGAUGUUAAAUAUUCUCUUUUAUAUUUUACCACCAUUAAAAAACAUGUGUAGUAGCUCCAGAUUUCAUAAUCAUAUGACCCCUGAGCUAUAG